CAUUGCUGAGAUGAGUGAGGAUUGUUUCAGAAAAUCAGGCCUCCUCCUGGGGAAUGUGCCUCAGCUUCUGAAUACCAUCAGAGCUCCUCUGGAACAUGUCCUUGUCUUCUCAGAGUGUGAAGUGUGUGUGUGACAGUGCUUUUCUGAGGACUCAGGUGACCUGGAGGCUGGAGAACAGCAUGGAGCAAGGAAAACAAAGACGAUGUGCUGGAGUGUAUGUUGCUUUCAUAAUUAUGUGAAAGAAAAUGUAGAGAAAUUUGAAAGGUAAGAUCUGACCACUUUGACCCCCUCUCCUCACACCAGCCUAUGCCCCACUUUCUUGAAGACCCACUCCCCAGCUUAGCAGCCAGGUACCCAUCACAGCCUGGCUUCAAGAAGGGAGCCCAGUCCGCCAGGUUUGUUCUCUCUCCUUCGGUCUGUCUCUGUUGGCCAGUCUGUCCAGGAGUUACUCUGUCCAUGGGUCAGUCUCUCCUUCUUUCUGACUGUCUUCCUAUCAUUCUUUCUUAGUUGUUCCCUCUCACCUUAAGGGCUGCCUAAUUUCUCUCUCAUCAUGUCUUUACUUCUCUCCUAGCCUCAUUUCCAGUUUUGGCUUCCUCAUAACUAAAGUGUGCUGUGGCCCCAACAUGGCAUCCUGACUUCUUUUCAGAGUCUGCCUCCAAGCUUCUGGCUGGUCUUGCCACAUACUCCAAUUCAUAUCCCUUCACAUUACAUCAAGCUGGCUCAGUCUGUCUCUUCUCCUCUGGCCAGACAAUGGCAGAUCACCUUGGUCAAGCAUGUCCUCUGGACCAAUUGCCCCAGACCAGGAUUAUUUAAAUACAACUCGUCCAUCUGCAGUUGUCCUUAAAAUCUGAUUUAUAGAAGGUCUGUGUGGGCUUGGCAUUUCUGGUGUCCACUCAUUCUGUCUAGUGAAUUGUCCUUCUUCCAUGACGCCAGUGGUGAUAGAUCUCACCCUCCUCUGAUCCCUGGGCCUGUUGGUUGUGGAGUUUAUGGGCCACUUCUGCAACUCGAUGGCCUUGGGCCAUGGAAAGGCCUGUCACCCCUUUUCUGGCACUAGAAUGGAAGCUUCAGUAGGGCAGGAACCCUAUUUAGGCAUUUCAGUUAGGCUUGGCACACUGUCUUGCAUGGAGAAAGCUCAGAAUAAGAGAGAGAUCCUAAAGUAUCUUCAACAGAACUAAUCUGACAAAUUUCCAAGGCUCCUUUGGGAGAUAAAAUCUACUUGGGGGAAUGGGAAAAGGAUGUCUACAUAGAUUUAGAAUAACGACCACCACCACCAUCAUCAUCCUUGACAGAACCUUUAUGCCAGGUGCUGUUCUAAAGCACUUUACAUACUUUAUCUCAUUUAAUCCUAACAACAGCCCUGUAAGGUGACUGUUACUAUGCCCUUUUUACCUUUAAUGAAGAAACAGCCUCAGGGAGAUUAAGAAAUUCACCCAAGGUCACAGAGCUAGAAGGUGAAAGAGCUGGAUUUCCAACCCAAGUGUGCCUGAUGUCAACUCUGAUCUAAGAUGUGGAUGCACAUGGGCAGAAUGAUGACGUGCUCUUCCCAACCUCUCAUUUAGCCAGCAUGUGAGAGGGCAAGGUGUCUUCAGCAACCAUUUCAUUUGUAAACAUACGUGUUUUUAUCCUUGGUCUACGCAAUAGUAUUACCACACAGGUAAUACCAGUGGGUGCUGGGUGUUUUUUUUUUUUUCCUCUUCUACAUAUUCCCUCCAAAAUAAAUUAUUAAUUGCCCCUCUUCUAAAUCUUACGUCACAGUCUUUAAUGCCUGCAUCUGAAUUGCUGUUAAAACAUCUCUUGGAGUCGUUCCCUGUGAUAUUACAGUCCGGGUUCCUGCGGCGUAAUCCCACUUGCUGGUUUUUCCCUUUGCAUUGCAUUUGGGUGAUGAAUGGCCCUUUGAUGUUCCUGGCAUCUGCCUUCCUGCCUCAGAAACUCACUGCUGGGUCCUCUUUUCCCUGCUAAUGGCCCUGUUUGCCUUCCACGACAGUUGAGACUCAGAAACACUUGCACCCACGGCACCUUUGGACAUUGCAGUUUGCCUCUGUUUCACUGCCCUUUCUUCUAUUUUUCUUUACUCUGCCUCUUCUGUUCUUUGCUCUGGCCUGCUCCUGUUCCCUGGCAGCUCCAGCCAUGCAGCAAACAGUCACCAGUCUUCACUUUAUCCUCAGAACUGGUGACACAGCACCUACUCUCCUUAUCUCUGUAGAGGCUUCCUCCAAAAUUUCUAUUACUUAACCCUUUCUCCUAGACUCUUCCUUGCCACUCAUCAUGGCUGAGGCCCUGCUCAGAUCUGUUUCCCUCAGUUCUUUGGGAAAGCAGCUGUCUGACAUUGAUGUGCAUUUGUUUAGCCUUUUCUAUGUGUCAAGCAUAGGUUUGUAUAGUCAUAGAGGUGGAUAACGUAGUCUUAGGUGCUUUUCUUCUUUUUUUAUAGACUGCAUCUUGCUCUGUCACCCAGACUGGACUGCAGUGGCACAAUCACAGCUACCUGUAACCUCAAACUCCUGGGCUCACGCAAUCCUCCCACCUCAGCCUCUGGAGUAGCUGGGACUACAGGUUUGUGCCACUAAGCCUGGCUAAUUUUUUAAAUUUUUUGUAGAGAUGGGGUUCUCGCUAUGUUGCCCAGGCUUUUUUUUUUUUUUUUUUUUUUUUGAGACAGAGUCUUGCUCUGUCACCCAGGCUGGAGUGCAAUGGCACGAUCUCAGCUCACUGCAACCUCCACCUCCUGGGUUCAAGCAAUUCUACUGCCUCAGCCUCCUGAGUAGCUGGGACUACAGGCAUGCAACACCAUGCCCAGCUGAUUUUUUUAUAUUUUUAGUAGAGAGGGGGUUUCACCAUGUUGGUCAGGCUGGUCUCGAACUCCUGACCUCAAAUGAUCGCCUGCCUCGGCUUCCCAAAGUGCUGGGAUUACAGGCUUAAGCCACCGUGCCUGGCCUGCCCAGGCUUUUUAAAAAAUAGACUUUAUUUUUUAAGUCUUUGGUCCACAUAACCACAGCCUCCCCUACUAUCAACAUCCCACACCAGAGCAGUACAUUUGACAUAUUCGAUGCACCUAACUUGACACAUCAUUAUCACUCAAAGUCCACAGCUUACUCUAGGGCUCGUUCUUGGUAUUGUGCAUUCUGUGGGUUUUGACAAAUGUAUAAUGACAUGCGUCCACCAUUGUAGUAUCAUCAGGAGCAGUGUCAUGGCCCUAUACAUCCUUCAUGUCUUAGGGAUUUUUAAAGCCUAGUAAAAGACAUCGGAAAA
rnacentral:lncRNA from 1 species